GUGGGGAAUCUUAGACAAUGGGCGCAAGCCUGAUCUAGCCAUGCCGCGUGAUCGAUGAAGGCCUUAGGGUUGUAAAGAUCUUUCAGUGGGGAAGAUAAUGACUGUACCCACAGAAGAAGCCCCGGCUAACUCCGUGCCAGCAGCCGCGGUAAUACAGAGGGUGCAAACGUUGCUCGGAAUUACUGGGCGUAAAGCGCGUGUAGGCUGACAUGCAAGUCGGGUGUGAAAUCCCAGGGCUCAACCUUGGAACUGCACUCGAAACUGCACGUCUUGAGUACUGGAGAGGGAAGCGGAAUUCCGGGUGUAGAGGUGAAAUUCGUAGAUAUCCGGAGGAACACCAGUGGCGAAGGCGGCUUCCUGGACAGUAACUGACGCUGAGACGCGAAAGCGUGGGGAGCAAACAGGAUUAGAUACCCUAGUAGUCC
rnacentral:rRNA from 1 species